rnacentral:rRNA from 1 species
CUACUCCUACGGGAGGCAGCAGUGGGGAAUAUUGCACAAUGGGCGGAAGCCUGAUGCAGGACGCCGCGUGAGGGAUGACGGCCUUCGGGUUGUAAACCUCUUUCAGUAGGGAAGAAGCGAAAGUGACGGUACCUGCAGAAGAAGCGCCGGCUAACUACGUGCCAGCAGCCGCGGUAAUACGUAGGGCGCAAGCGUUAUCCGGAAUUAUUGGGCGUAAAGAGCUCGUAGGCGGUUUGUCGCGUCUGCCGUGAAAGUCCGGGGCUCAACUCCGGAUCUGCGGUGGGUACGGGCAGACUAGAGUGAUGUAGGGGAGACUGGAAUUCCUGGUGUAGCGGUGAAAUGCGCAGAUAUCAGGAGGAACACCGAUGGCGAAGGCAGGUCUCUGGGCAUUAACUGACGCUGAGGAGCGAAAGCAUGGGGAGCGAACAGGAUUAGAUACCCUGGUAGUCCAUGCCGUAAACGUUGGGCACUAGGUGUGGGGGACAUUCCACGUUUUCCGCGCCGUAGCUAACGCAUUAAGUGCCCCGCCUGGGGAGUACGGCCGCAAGGCUAAAACUCAAAGGAAUUGACGGGGGCCCGCACAAGCGGCGGAGCAUGCGGAUUAAUUCGAUGCAACGCGAAGAACCUUACCAAGGCUUGACAUGAACCGGUAAGACCUGAAACCAGGCCCCCCAAC